CCCUUAGACGUUCUGGGCCGCACGCGCGCUACACUGACCAGUGCAACAAGCAUCCGUCCUUGGCCGACAGGCCUGGGCAAUCUUUGAACGCUGGUCGUGAUGGGGAUAGACUUUUGCAAUUUUUGGUCUUCAACGAGGAAUUCCUAGUAAACGCAAGUCAUCAACUUGCAUUGAUUACGUCCCUGCCCUUUGUACACACCGCCCGUCGCACCUACCGAUUGAAUGGUCCGGUGAAGCCUCCGGAUUGGCGCGCACCUCGGUGCCGCCGAGAAGUUGGCUAAACCUUACCAUUUAGAGGAAGGUGAANUCGUANCA
rnacentral:rRNA from 1 species